rnacentral:rRNA from 1 species
AGGUGUGGGGAACAUUCCACGUUUUCCGCGCCGUAGCUAACGCAUUAAGUGCCCCGCCUGGGGAGUACGGCCGCAAGGCUAAAACUCAAAGGAAUUGACGGGGGCCCGCACAAGCGGCGGAGCAUGCGGAUUAAUUCGAUGCAACGCGAAGAACCUUACCAAGGCUUGACAUCAACCGGACCGGGCCAGAGAUGGUCUUUCCCUUCGGGGCUGGUUGACAGGUGGUGCAUGGUUGUCGUCAGCUCGUGUCGUGAGAUGUUGGGUUAAGUCCCGCAACGAGCGCAACCCUUGUCCUAUGUUGCCAGCACGUAGUGGUGGGGACUCAUGGGAGACUGCCGGGGUCAACUCGGAGGAAGGUGGGGAUGACGUCAAAUCAUCAUGCCCCUUAUGUCUUGGGCUUCACGCAUGCUACAAUGGCCGGUACAGUGGGUUGCGAUGCCGUGAGGUGGAGCUAAUCCCUAAAAGCCGGUCUCAGUUCGGAUCGAAGUCUGCAACUCGACUUCGUGAAGUUGGAGUCGCUAGUAAUCGCAGAUCAGCAAUGCUGCGGUGAAUACGUUCCCGGGCCUUGUACACACCGCCCGUCAAGUCACGAAAGUUGGUAACACCCGAAGCCCAUGGCCCAACUCUUUGAGGGGGAAUGGUCGAAGUGGGGCUG